rnacentral:rRNA from 1 species
UACGUAGGGGGGCAAGCGUUGUCCGGAUUUAUUGGGCGUAAAGAGCGUGUAGGCGGCCUGACAGGUCUGCUGUGAAAACUCGAGGCUCAACCUCGAGAUGUCGGCGGAAACCGUCUGGCUAGAGUCCGGAAGAGGAGAGUGGAAUUCCUGGUGUAGCGGUGAAAUGCGCAGAUAUCAGGAAGAACACCUAUGGCGAAGGCAGCUCUCUGGGACGGUACUGACGCUGAGACGCGAAAAGCGUGGGGAGCGAACAGG